UACGAAGGGGGCUAGCGUUGCUCGGAAUCACUGGGCGUAAAGGGUGCGUAGGCGGGUCUUUAAGUCAGGGGUGAAAUCCUGGAGCUCAACUCCAGAACUGCCUUUGAUACUGAGGAUCUUGAGUUCGGGAGAGGUGAGUGGAACUGCGAGUGUAGAGGUGGAAUGCGUAGAGAUCCCCAAGAACACCAGUUGCGAAGGCGGCUGACUGGACACAUAUUGACGCUGAGGCUCGAAAGCAUGGGGAGCAAACAGG
rnacentral:rRNA from 1 species